CACGUAGGGUGCGAGCGUUGUCCGGAAUUAUUGGGCGUAAAGAGCUCGUAGGCGGUUUGUCGCGUCUGCUGUGAAAAUCCAGGGCUUAACCCUGGACCUGCAGUGGGUACGGGCAGACUGGAGUGCGGUAGGGGAGAUCGGAAUUCCUGGUGUAGCGGUGAAAUGCGCAGAUAUCAGGAGGAACACCGGUGGCGAAGGCGGAUCUCUGGGCCGUAACUGACGCUGAGGAGCGAAAGCAUGGGGAGCGAACAGG
rnacentral:rRNA from 1 species